rnacentral:rRNA from 1 species
UUGGGAAUCUUGGACAAUGGGGGAAACCCUGAUCCAGCCAUGCCGCGUGAGUGAUGAAGGCCUUCGGGUUGUAAACCUCUUUCAGUAGGGAAGAAGCGAAAGUGACGGUACCUGCAGAAGAAGCGCCGGCUAACUACGUGCCAGCAGCCGCGGUAAGACGUAGGGCGCGAGCGUUGUCCGGAUUUAUUGGGCGUAAAGAGCUCGUAGGCGGCUUGUCGCGUCGAAUGUGAAAUCCCGAGGCUCAACUUCGGGCUUGCAUUCGAUACGGGCAGGCUAGAGUUCGGUAGGGGAGACUGGAAUUCCUGGUGUAGCGGUGAAAUGCGCAGAUAUCAGGAGGAACACCGGUGGCGAAGGCGGGUCUCUGGGCCGAUACUGACGCUGAGGAGCGAAAGCGUGGGGAGCGAAC